UACGACUACAUAUCAGGCAUAUCAAUAAGCGGAGGAAAAGAAACUAACAAGGAUUCCCUUAGUAACGGCGAGUGAAGCGGGAAGAGCUCAAAUUCGAAAUCUUCAAGGUUCUACCUUGACGAAUUGUAGUUUAAAGAAGUGUUUUCUGUUAGAUGAGUAGCAAAAGUUCCUUGGAAUGGGACAUCAUAGAGGGUGAGAAUCCCGUAUUGGUUAUUCAUUCUAGCUUUGUGAUACACUUUCAAAGAGUCGGAUUGUUUGGGAAUGCAGUCCAAAAUGGGUGGUAAAUUUCAUCUAAAGCUAAAUAUUGGCGAGAGACCGAUAGCGAACAAGUACCGUGAGGGAAAGAUGAAAAGAACUUUGAAAAGAGAGUUAAACAGUACGUGAAAUUGUCAAAAGGGAAGCGUUUGACACCAGUGUUGUUUUUCCGAAAAUCAAUUACGAAUGGCUUGAUUUUGUGUUGUAUUGACCUUAUCAGCUUUCUUCACUUUUUUCGAGUCUUUCUUAAUGCACUUUUCGGUUAACAAGUCAACAUCAAUUUCUUUUGUUGUAAAAGAGUAUUCGGAAGGUGGCUUUCUUUUCGGAGAAAGUGUUUAUAGCCCUAUACUUCUACAAUCGGAGAGAUUGAGGUCUGCAGCGUAGAUCCUUCGGGGUUAGAUACACUUGUGCUAAGUUGUAGCUUUUCAUAGACAACUUGUUGACUAUGUUUAGUCAUGCGGCUUACUCGCUUAUGCUAUUUUACCUACGCUUAGGAUGUUGAGUAGCGACAUACGCAC
rnacentral:rRNA from 1 species